rnacentral:lncRNA from 11 species
GUACUGUGAACAAGAUGCACUUGGGCCCCAAAAAAGAAUUUGAAGAAUGAUAUUUUAUUUUUCUUCAACAGAACAGCCUCCAAAAACUGGUGUGGAGUAACAUGUAUGACACUCGGGAGGAUUUUACAGUUGUAUUGCAGCCUUUCCUCCAGAUCACUGAAUUACCGCAUUUACAGGAUGGGCGUCCAGAUACUUCCUUCUUUGCACCUGACUGUUUUCACAUGAGUCAAAAAUCACACUCCCAGCUUGCCAAGGCCCUUUGGAACAACAUGCUUCAGCCUUUUGGAGAAAAAAACAUUUCCUUCAGUCUUAUGGUUAAUAUAACUCUGAGCUGUCCAACUCUGGUAAACAUUUCAUUGUCUUUUGGGUGGGGAACAGCUUGGGUAUCUAAGUGGGGUCUAA